CAUUUCACUGAUGCCCCUAGGAGCCUACUUGCCCGGGGGGAGUCCAGGGCCCCUGUUCCUCAGCCCCAGAUGGCCCUCUCCGGUUUGUAUGAGGACAGGGCAGAACCCCAGCAGGUGAGCAGUGGGGGGACCCUUUGGGCAGGGUUUCUGGGGACAGGGACCCCUCAAUCUCGACAGCCCACCCAUCCAGACGGCUGCCUUCUGCGUGCUCCUCAGACACAGCCGCCCUGCCCUACGGUAACGGUAACGGGGGAGCUGCCCAGAAACCACAGAGCGUAAUCAUAGCUGCAGCGCCCUUGAAAAAUGGCUGAGAAGGGCCAGCUCAACUUGCAGGUGUAGGAGGAAACGCAGACUCUUGACCUCGGAAGGCCUGUUCCUGCUAGGUUCCCUGGCCUCCUGUCCAAGGUGUCACCGGCUCACCAUCCCGUGGCCCCACCUUGUUUGAUUUUGAUGGUACGUGUCACCCCUGAAAUGACGGUGCUUCUGGUGUUUACAGUUGAGUGUUGUCUCCUCGCAACGGAGAGGGGAUAACCGGACACAGACACGCGGAGAAGGCUGUGUGAAAUGGACGCAGGGUUCGGAGCAAUGCGUCCCUGAGUCGAGGAACACUGCAGCUUGCUGGAGCCACCAGAAGCUGGAAGAGGUAGGAAGGAUCCCCUCCUGGAGCUUUCAGACACAGCACGGAACUGCCGACUCAAAGUCCUGCUGAUUCUGGACUUCUGGCCUUCAGAACUGACAGAGAAUACGUUUCUGUUGUUUUGAGC